rnacentral:rRNA from 1 species
GACGAACGCUGGCGGCGUGCUUAACACAUGCAAGUCGAACGGAGUUAAAUCAGUGCUUGCACUGAUUUAAUUUAGUGGCGGACGGGUGAGUAACACGUGGGUAACCUGCCCUAUGGAGGGGGAUAACACAUAGAAAUGUGUGCUAAUACCGCAUAAUGUAUCUCCAGCGCAUGCUGGAGAUACCAAAGAUUUAUUGCCAUAGGAUGGACCCGCGGCCCAUUAGCUAGUUGGUGAGGUAACGGCUCACCAAGGCGACGAUGGGUAGCCGCUCUGAGAGGAUGAACGGCCACAUUGGAACUGAGACACGGUCCAGACUCCUACGGGAGGCAGCAGUGGGGAAUAUUGCACAAUGGGGGAAACCCUGAUGCAGCAACGCCGCGUGAGUGACGAAGGCCUUCGGGUUGUAAAACUCUGUCUUAGCUGACGAUAAUGACGGUAAGCUAGGAGGAAGCCACGGCUAACUACGUGCCAGCCGCCGCGGUAACAC